UCUGAUUGUGUGUUAGACUGAUUUUCCAGAGACGAUAUCUUUCUAGAAGAUGUUUAGUAUUCGAGUUUCAGGUGAAUUCGCUCUUACUUCGAAUUCUUUGUGUGUAGACGUCUUUUGUUUUCUGUUAUAUAACUCCAAAGGAAGAUAAGAUGCCACAUUUUGGAGCUAUGCGAAUCCCGAGGAGUAUGAGGGAGGAUAUGAAUCCGGACCGAAGUGAUCAGACAGAGAACCAAAGCUGUCAACACAGCACAGCGGAUUAUGAGCGGUAUAUAUACCCACGCGUUGCUUACGUAUUUACUGGAUGAGAGAAUUAAUUCUAAAAAAAUUAGAAAUCCUGGUUAAAUAUCCAUGAACCUUGAGGACAUUAAAGAAUUGUUUAGUUUUGCAGUUCGUUUACAAUAUGAUGAGCCGAACAAUCAAGAAGUUUAAAAUAAAUCAAUACAAACCUGAACAGAAA